AUGGGGCCGCCUGCUCAGCGUCUGACUGCCGCCCGCCUGGAAACCCCUUUCCCCCGCUUAUCACCCGCCCUACAAAAGUCCACCCGCGACAGGUGGGGAGAGGGCGGCAAUGGCCAACAACAAAUCUGCCGCUUUCGCUUCUGGCCAGCAACCCGCCCCAAUCUACAAGCGCGCCCCUCCCGGCACUGCCGGCCUAUCCGCCCCCGCUGUACCCGCAGACGCGCAGCGGGCGCGGGCUGCGGGCUCUCGGGCGACCUCACCCCCAGGAUUGCAGUGGGGGCGAGGAGGGCCGGCGAGAUAAGACCUUCAGGGCUCGCCCGUGGGCGCUAUCUGGCCGGGGCAGUCGCACCAGGCGCGCGGCCGUGGCGCGCCGCCAGAGGCGCAGCAGGCCAGGGAAAGAGCUACUUCUCAAUGGGGCCCCGAGGCCGUCUGCCCCGCGGUGCGGGCACGCCGGCGGAGGAACCAGCGUGCGCGCCAACGCGCCUGGACUUCCGCACCGCCGCACCGCGGGAGAGGCGCUCCGGAUCGCCGAGUCCCCGCACCUCCCCGGCGAGCGCACGCCGCGCGCACACGGGGGCGCACGCCCCCGCACACUCACACGCGCUGCACACUCACGGCGUCUCCAGCCCCACCCCUGUGCCAAGCAGCCGCGGGCUCCCCGCACCCCGUAGGGGCCCCACCCAGUUCACCAGACCCCAGCCUCCAGCUCGGGCGCUCAGGGACCAGCCCGCCGAGGCUCGGGGCCCCUGGGGUCGCCUCGUCGUCCACCCCGAGGCCGACCCGCCUGCCUGGGGUUCCCCGGCACCGCGCGGGCACCGCGGGCACCGCGCGCCCGGCCCCGACACGAGGCAGGGAGGAAGGGGCGGUGCCGCGACUGGGCUGGCACCGGAGCUCGGUGACUGGAGCACCCCCCAACCCACCCACCCAUCACCACCACCUUUUCUGCAGCACAAAAGGUUGCAGGCGGAACCGCCGUCCCCGUGCAACCUACCGGUGGCCCAGGGCUCUGCCACCUCCGCCGCGCCUGGGCCGCAGAGCCGGAGAGAAGGGCGGGAGAGGCGCAGGGCUGCGGCGCCGAGAGCCGGGCAGAGGCCGCCAGCCGAGCCAGCCGGGUACCCUCUCCUCUCCCACCGCGCUCGGAGCCAGCUACCGCCCGGCGUAGUCCCCGCCUCCUCCUCCGCCGCCGCCGCCGCCGCCGCCGCCCGCCUUCCCGCCCUCCUCCCUCCGGCUGCGGAGGCGCAGCCCGUCUGCGCUGGGCCCGCCUCCUGCGCCCUGCUCUGA
rnacentral:lncRNA from 1 species